GACGGAGGGUGCUAGCGUUGUUCGGAAUCACUGGGCGUAAAGGGCGCGUAGGUGGUGGCUUAAGCGUGCGGUGAAAGCUCGGGGCUCAACCCCGAGUCGGCCGUGCGAACUGGGCUCACUGGAGCAUAGUAGAGGCAGGUGGAAUUCCGGGUGUAGCGGUGGAAUGCGUAGAGAUCCGGAAGAACACCGGUGGCGAAGGCGGCCUGCUGGGCUAUGGCUGACACUGAGGCGCGACAGCGUGGGGAGCGAACAGG
rnacentral:rRNA from 1 species